AGUUUAUUUAAUAUUGCAAUAAAUAUUAAAUAAUGUAAUAUGACAUAUCUGUGUGUGUGUGUGUGUGUGUGUGUUUGUGUAUGAGAAAGUGUGUAUGUGUGAACCGACCGGAACAUACGUAUAGAUUUACACAUACAUACACACCGCUGUAUUAGUCUUUGAACAUUCGGUUGUGAAUGUUUUAUAUCGUUUCGCCUAGCUCUACCCUAAAUCGACGGAAAAGCUAUUGCAGACAAGACCUUGAACCCAGCUGACAGUAUUUAAAUAAGUAAGUAUUCAUAUAGCUACUAUUCUCUUACUAAAAAUACGAAGUUAAGACUGUCUCGCUGUAUUAUAUAUAUAUAUAUAUAUAUAUUCUUUUAUUCUUUUACUUGUUUCUGUCAUUUGACUGCGGCCAUGCCGGAGCACUGCAUUUAGUUGAGUAAAUCGACUGCAAGACUUAUUCUUUGCAAGCUUGGUACUUAUUUUAUCGGUCUAUUUUGCUGAACUGCUAAGUUAGGGGGAUGUAAACACAACAUCAUCGGUUGUCAAGCGAUGCUGGGGAGACAAACACAGACACAAAUAUAUACACACGCAUAUAUAGGAUCGCGUGUGUAUAUAUUUGUGUCUGUUUGUCUCCCCAGCAUCGCUUGACAACCGAUCCUAUAUAUGCGUGUGUAUAUAUAUAGUGUGUAUAUAUAUAUAUAUAUAUAAUGCUGUAUGAUCGUUUCAAGUGACUCCAUUUAAGUGAACAAUGCAACCAUUACAUCAAUUUAAAUGCUUUGCACUUAAAUGGAGUCACUUGAAGAUUGCUCUGCACUUAAAUGGAGUCACUUGAAACGAUCGUACUGCAUUACCUCUAGAUAUUCUGAUGCUUAUUUUGAUUUUGAAAUUGUAUGUAUAUCAUUCUAAAAUUCUAGUGCCUCAACUAAUUCAUCUGCAUGUAUAUAUAAAUAUAUAUAUAUAUAUAUAUAUAUAUAUAUAUAUAUAUCACGUGAUCACGUGACCGACCAGACCAUCAGAUGUUGCUACACAUCGCUGGUCACAAUGCGCUUCGCAUUGUUCUGGCCUUCGAAUGACGCCACCCCGCUGGCUAAGCGAGCAGGCCAACAGAAGAAAGAGUGAGAGAAAGAGUGGUGAAAGAGUACAGCAGGGAUCACCUCCCCCUGCCGGAGCGUCGUGGAGCUUUUAGAUGUUUUCGCUCAAUAAACACACACAACGCCCGGUCUGGGAAUCGAAACCGCGAUCCUACGACUGCGAGCCUUAACCACUGGGCCAUUGCGACUCCACACACACACACACACACACACACACACACAUAUAUAUAUAUAUAUAUAUAUAUAUAUAUAUUACAUAUAUAUAUAUUAUAUUACAUAUAUAUGUGUGUGUGUGUGUGUGUAUGUGUGUGUGUGUGUGAAGGCACGUGGCUUAGUGGUUAGGGCAUUCGGCUCACGAUCGAAACGUUGAGUGUUCGAUUCUCAGUGAUGCAUUGUGUCCUUGAGCAAGACACAUUAUUUCACGUUGCUCCAGUCCACUCAGCUGGCAAAAACGAGUGGUACCUGUGUUUCAAAGGGCCAGCCUUAUCACGCUCUGUGUCCACACCGAAUAUCCCUGAAAACUAGGUUAUGGGUACACAUGUCUGUGGAGUGCUCAGCCACUUGCAUGUUAAUUUCACGAGCAAGCUGUUCCAUUGAUUGAAUCAGCUGUGGCCCUUUUCGUCAUAACCGAUUGAGUGCUCCUAUAUAUUUUGUUGUAUUUCGAGAUGGUCAUUUAAAAAAAAAUUUUUGCCAAAUAUACACACGCACUAUAUAUUCGUCGUUCACUCUUUUGUUACACACCUGUGACCUGUUCAGCGACACUUCCCUUCUCUGUGUGUGCUUUUGCUCUGCUUAUUCCAUUCCGUUCUUCCAGAACAGAACUGAAUAACAGAAUGGACUAAGCAGGACAAAGAGCACACACAAAGAUGGAAAGUGUCGCAGAGGAGGUCACAGAUGUGUGACAAAAGAUUUCUGGACAAUGGACAUGAGUUUGAAUAAGAACAGUAAUAAACGAAUGAGCUACUAAUACUUUCAAAGACUGAAAACAAUUCAGACAGCAUUUUAUAACACGUCUGCUGUCUUCACGCAAUCAUCGAAGGCACCAGACGUGUUAUACAAUCGGCAAUUUCUGUCAAAAAAUAUAUUAUUUCUUUAAUUUUUAUACAUACAUGCAUACACACACACACACACACACACGCACAUACACGCACACACAUAUAUAUUUUAUAAGGCGGCGAGCUGGCAGAAACGUUAGCACGCCGGGCGAAAUGCGUAGCCGUAUUUCGUCUGUCGCUACGUUCUGAGUUCAAAUUCCGCCGAGGUCGACUUUGCCUUUCAUCCUCUCGGGGUCGAUAAAUAAAGUACCAGUGUCGCACUGGGUCGAAGUAAUCGACUUAAUCCAUUUGUCUGUCCUUGUUUGUCCCCUCUAUGUUUAGCCCCUUGUGGGUAGUAAAGAAAUAUAUAUUUAUACACAUACAUGAAUA
rnacentral:lncRNA from 1 species